rnacentral:rRNA from 1 species
UACGUAGGGUGCGAGCGUUAAUCGGAAUUACUGGGCGUAAAGCGUGCGCAGGCGGUCUUGCAAGACAGAUGUGAAAUCCCCGGGCUCAACCUGGGAACUGCAUUUGUGACUGCAAGGCUGGAGUACGGUAGAGGGGGAUGGAAUUCCGCGUGUAGCAGUGAAAUGCGUAGAUAUGCGGAGGAACACCGAUGGCGAAGGCAAUCCCCUGGACCUGUACUGACGCUCAUGCACGAAAGCGUGGGGAGCAACAGG